UACGAAGGGGGCUAGCGUUGCUCGGAAUCACUGGGCGUAAAGGGUGCGUAGGCGGGUUUUUAAGUCAGAGGUGAAAUCCUGGAGCUCAACUCCAGAACUGCCUUUGAUACUGAAAGUCUUGAGUAUGGGAGAGGUGAGUGGAACUGCGAGUGUAGAGGUGAAAUUCGUAGAUAUUCGCAAGAACACCGGUGGCGAAGGCGGCCUUACUGGACAGUAACUGACGCUGAGACGCGAAAGCGUGGGGAGCAAACAGG
rnacentral:rRNA from 1 species